rfam:Myotis brandtii contig310251, whole genome shotgun sequence.
GACCAUUCUUGGGUGACACACCCCGGAAUCGGGCUCCCUCCUCUCUGGUUCCAGGUGCAUCACCCAAGAACCACA